rnacentral:rRNA from 1 species
UACGAGGGGGGGCAAGCGUUGUUCGGAAUUAUUGGGCGUAAAGGGCGCGUAGGCGGUGCGGUAAGUCACCUGUGAAACCUUUAGGCUCAACCUAGAGCCUGCAGGCGAAACUGCCGUGCUUUGAGGGUGGGAGAGGUGCGUGGAAUUCCCGGUGUAGCGGUGAAAAUGCGUAGAUAUCAGGAGGAACACCGGUGGCGAAGGCGGAUCUC